rnacentral:lncRNA from 1 species
UAGGAUAAAAGAUUUGCAGCAUCUUUUUGUUGUUGUUGAUUUUUUGUUUUUUGAGAUGGUCUCACUGUAUACUUCAGGCUGGCCUCAAACUUGAGGUGAUCCUCCUGCCUCAGCCUCCCGAGUACCGGCAUUACAGGUGUCACCACCACACCCAGCCUCCCAAUUAUGUUCUGAAGCUCAGCUCCUGUCAUCUCCUAUGCGGAGCCUGCAGCAUCCACCCACCCGGGCAGCCUGGACCACUCUGCAGUGUUGAGGGCCUGUGUCUCCAGCGUUAGUAGGAACCGUUCCUGCUUCCAGACGAGUAUGGAAAGCUGCUCUAGGGUCUGAGCGAACAUGGACUCGCAACUCAGUUGGAAAACUGCCUUGGAAAACUUUUUAAACCUGGGGCGAAGCAGACAGCCAUCAAGCCCAGGCUGGCCUUGAACUCACUGUGAUCCUGCCGCCCCAGCCUCCUGAGUGCUGGGCUCACAGGUGUGACCGCCACACCCGGCUCCCUGCCAACGUCCAGCUUGCUGUGCGUCUAGUCUUCUUGCCUUCCGUGAGGUUAGGGACGUCGUCUUCAGCUGGGAAGAGGACUGUGGUGAGCAAGCGGCUAGGCCGUGUUUGUGUAAACUGCGAUUACUCCUUAGAGGUGAGGUUUGGACGGAGGGAGUAUUCACCUAGAGCUACUACUGCACCCUUGGAAAAGAGUCAUAGAAUGCACUGGCGUCAGGAACGGGGCGCAGGCCGGAGAGCUACACACUCGCAGAAUGAAAACUCGGUUCCGCUCAGGAGCACGGACAGUUAGAGAAACCGGACUGCAGGCGGCUCCGAGUGCUGCCCCCGGGAGACUGCAGCGCCUGGAGGCCCGGUCUGCGGGCUUGGCGUCGUCUGUUCCCGCCUCAGCAAGGGCAGGGCCAGUCACUGACACAGACCGAGGGGCGAGCCUGGCAGAUGGUGCCUCGGAGCUGACUCAGCCCUUUCCCCGGCUCACAGAGUUUCUCAGGAAGCUUCUCCCUGGCACGCAGGGCAGUUUUAUCUCCACUCGAGGAGCA